AGAGGCAAACCCUGGGAGGCAGGGCAGUGUUUCUUUUUCUGCACACCAAUGACUCAGCUGUGACAACUCCCUCCGGGGUAGCAGCAGCACAGUCCCACCCAGCCUGAGGGCUCACCUCUGCUGAUGGGCCAUCAUGGACUGAAUGGCCCCAGCACAAUGGGCAGCUGCAAGGACUGAGACCAUCAAGGCUCCCAAAAUAUCCCAUGACUCCCAGGAUGACAUCGUUCCAUUGUGAAACUGCCCGCCCUGGGGGAGGGGCUGAGCAUUCCCACCUGAACCUGAGCAUAUAAAAUCUGGGUUUGGGGCCUUCUGGCAACACUUAACAGAUCCAGGGCAGGAGCAGGACUCCAACAGGACUGUGACCACUGCUGUUGACAAGACUGCUCCCAUCACUUGGACAGGACUGUGUCCACCACUCCGACCAACAGGAUUUCCUACUCCCAAACCUUGGCCAGAUGGAGGAGGACGCUGUGAGGAAGAGGAAGAUGCCCCGGAACACCCAGGCAGACAAGGAGCUGAGGACAGAGCCCAGGGAGGACAAAUCCCCGCGGCAGAACCUGGUGGAAGAGGCCAUUUUGAGUAGCUCCACAUCGCAGGAAUCCAGCUGGGAGGAAAACCACCGGAGAUCCCACAGGAGGAGGGGCUGCAAACGCAGCCCAGGGAGCUGUGAGGAGGAAAGACCCACCCUGUGCCGGGAUGGCGGCCGGAGAUCCCGCCAGAGCUCAAACCUGGUGGUCCAUGAGCAGUG